rnacentral:rRNA from 1 species
ACCCGCACAAGCAGCGGAGUCGUGUGGUUUAAUUCGUUGCUACACGAAGAACCUUACCUGGGUUUGACAUAUAAGUUGUAGGGAACUGAAAAGGGACCGACCCGUUCGGGGAGCUUAUACAGGUGUUGCAUGGCUGUCGUCAGCUCGUGUCGUGAGAUGUUCGGUUAAGUCCGCUAACGAGCGCAACCCUCGCCGUAUGUUACAAGUGUCAUACGGGACUGCCGGUAAAAAGCCGGAGGAAGGUGAGGAUGAUGUCAAGUCAGCAUGACCUUUAUAUCCAGGGCUACACACACGCUACAAUGGUCUGUACAAUUGGUUGCCAAGCCGCGAGGCGGAGCCAAUCCGUAAAGCAGGCCUCAGUUCAGAUUGCAGUCUGCAACUCGACUGCAUGAAGUCGGAGUUGCUAGUAACCGCAGGUCAGCAAUACUGCGGUGAAUACGUUCCCGGGUCUU